CUUCCUAUGCGCUGCUAUGAAUGCUAUGAUUGGUCCUUGGAUUCUAGAAAUCUUCCUCAUUCGUCGCCAGGAUCGCUUGCUCUCCGGACGUUUCUGCUACGAAGCUGGAUUAGACAUUUCUUUUGUCCACUUUUUAGGUGGUCUGUUGGAGUCCCCGUCACAGACUACAGAUGGCGCUGGAUGGCCUGGGAAGCUACUGUCACAGUAGGCCUAGAAUAUCUUUUUCAAUCAACACGUCGUUUUCCAACAUAGUAUUAAGAUAGAGAUAAGUAAUACUUGCAUGCACAUUCAGAGUUGUAUUGUAAACAAUUUUUUAACUUGAUUUGAGAAGUGGUGUCAAGUAGCUGUGCUAAAGGACUGGUUAGCUGAUAAUUAUGCCGGCGAACAUGCAUAUUUCCUAGUAGAAUUUCUAAAUGCACAUUUAUCUAUCAUAAUUUUCCAAGAUUUAAAUCUUUGGAUGCCCAUUUAUGGAUGAAUCUUCCUGAGUACAAAGAGUCACCGUAGCAGACUCGCGCUGUUGGAGAAUUAAAAGUGAAUUUAAGCUUUAGGUUUUAAGCUAAUAAUUUUAUGUUGUAGGCUAUAAUAACAUGAUUUUAUUAAGCCGCCUGAAAUAUAAUAACAGAAACUUGGUUAGAAGAUACAAUAGCCCUUUUGCUUAUGGAACCGAUUUAUGUUUGUGAUAUUUUGGUAUUAGCAUUUCAGGACCCCAAAAUCGCACUAUUUUCCUGCCUCUAAACUUACACUGCUUCUCACAUCGUUUUGUUUAUAGCCUUAUGAGUUUGGUAUUAGGUAGCCUUAUUUUAUGAAAAUUGUUGUACUGUAUAAUAGUUGGAAAAAUUUCUCAAAGAAUAUUCAUGAGCAAUAAUGAAAACCUAUACCUAUGCGACAGACUCUACUUUUAUAAAAUAACAUUAACUUUAUCUAGCAUCUAAUUGUCGUAGACAAGUUUUAUAAGCUGAUAAUGUUAUUAUUUUUGGAGGUUAGAGCAAUUAAAAUGAGGCGAUUUUUAACAUCGUUUUAGUUGAUAUGAUAAUUUCAAUCAAUUCUCAAAGCAAUUUAACCACCUUAGACUUGUACUAUCACUUUUAUUGUAUUGUCGUGUGAAUAUUUAUCGGCGAUCGUUGAUUUAUUAGUUCUUAUUCUAUUGGGAGAAAUUAUUGCAACUAUAUUUGUUAAUUAUUAAAUUUAAUAAACGCCGAUAGUGAUGACAAUAUUGACUUAAUAAGGUUCAAGCUUUGUUGAAAACAUUCUGUCGUCGAUAAGUAACUGUGAUAUCUAGGAAUAAGACUAAAAUAAGUGAAAACAUCAUUUGAAUCUAGUCUUCUGUAAAUAUUUUUCAAUUUACACUUAAGUCAUAGUAUUUUAUAAAUAUAAAUACUGCUUAGCAAUAAUUGUGGUGUUCUUAAACUGGGACAUGGACUAGGACUAUUGUAAGCAGGAUUAGGGUUUCAGGGAGCUAUUGUCCUGAUAUUGUUGAUCCUUGCUUUACAAGCAGAGGAUCCAAAAUCAACAUUAGUUUUACUGGCCCGGCCUGCAAUUUUUUAGCUUCGUUUGUAAAAAGAUGAAUUUCAGCAAUAAAUCUACAUAAAGUUUUCUAUAACA